rnacentral:rRNA from 1 species
GGUGCCUAAUACAUGCAAGUCGAACGAACUCUGGUAUUGAUUGGUGCUUGCAUCAUGAUUUACAUUUGAGUGAGUGGCGAACUGGUGAGUAACACGUGGGAAACCUGCCCAGAAGCGGGGGAUAACACCUGGAAACAGAUGCUAAUACCGCAUAACAACUUGGACCGCAUGGUCCGAGCUUGAAAGAUGGCUUCGGCUAUCACUUUUGGAUGGUCCCGCGGCGUAUUAGCUAGAUGGUGGGGUAACGGCUCACCAUGGCAAUGAUACGUAGCCGACCUGAGAGGGUAAUCGGCCACAUUGGGACUGAGACACGGCCCAAACUCCUACGGGAGGCAGCAGUAGGGAAUCUUCCACAAUGGACGAAAGUCUGAUGGAGCAACGCCGCGUGAGUGAAGAAGGGUUUCGGCUCGUAAAACUCUGUUGUUAAAGAAGAACAUAUCUGAGAGUAACUGUUCAGGUAUUGACGGUAUUUAACCAGAAAGCCACGGCUAACUACGUGCCAGCAGCCGCGGUAAUACGUAGGUGGCAAGCGUUGUCCGGAUUUAUUGGGCGUAAAGCGAGCGCAGGCGGUUUUUUAAGUCUGAUGUGAAAGCCUUCGGCUCAACCGAAGAAGUGCAUCGGAAACUGGGAAACUUGAGUGCAGAAGAGGACAGUGGAACUCCAUGUGUAGCGGUGAAAUGCGUAGAUAUAUGGAAGAACACCAGUGGCGAAGGCGGCUGUCUGGUCUGUAACUGACGCUGAGGCUCGAAAGUAUGGGUAGCAAACAGGAUUAGAUACCCUGGUAGUCCAUACCGUAAACGAUGAAUGCUAAGUGUUGGAGGGUUUCCGCCCUUCAGUGCUGCAGCUAACGCAUUAAGCAUUCCGCCUGGGGAGUACGGCCGCAAGGCUGAAACUCAAAGGAAUUGACGGGGGCCCGCACAAGCGGUGGAGCAUGUGGUUUAAUUCGAAGCUACGCGAAGAACCUUACCAGGUCUUGACAUACUAUGCAAAUCUAAGAGAUUAGACGUUCCCUUCGGGGACAUGGAUACAGGUGGUGCAUGGUUGUCGUCAGCUCGUGUCGUGAGAUGUUGGGUUAAGUCCCGCAACGAGCGCAACCCUUAUUAUCAGUUGCCAGCAUUAAGUUGGGCACUCUGGUGAGACUGCCGGUGACAAACCGGAGGAAGGUGGGGAUGACGUCAAAUCAUCAUGCCCCUUAUGACCUGGGCUACACACGUGCUACAAUGGAUGGUACAACGAGUUGCGAACUCGCGAGAGUAAGCUAAUCUCUUAAAGCCAUUCUCAGUUCGGAUUGUAGGCUGCAACUCGCCUACAUGAAGUCGGAAUCGCUAGUAAUCGCGGAUCAGCAUGCCGCGGUGAAA